rnacentral:tRNA from 1 species
AAUAAGAUAGGAUAUUUAGUCUGUAAGGUUCAUACCCUUGAGGUUUUCUUAUUU